UACGUAGGGUGCAAGCGUUGUCCGGAAUUAUUGGGCGUAAAGAGCUCGUAGGCGGUUUGUCGCGUCUGCUGUGAAAACCCGAGGCUCAACCUCGGGCCUGCAGUGGGUACGGGCAAACUAGAGUGCAGUAGGGGAGAAUGGAAUUCCUGGUGUAGCGGUGGAAUGCGCAGAUAUCAGGAGGAACACCGAUGGCGAAGGCAGUUCUCUGGGCCGUAACUGACGCUGAGGAGCGAAAGCGUGGGGAGCGAACAGG
rnacentral:rRNA from 1 species